rnacentral:rRNA from 1 species
UAGGGAACCUUCCACAAUGGGCGAAAGCCUGAUGGAGCAACGCCGCGUGUGUGAUGAAGGCUUUCGGGUCGUAAAGCACUGUUGUAUGGGAAGAACAGCUAGAAUAGGAAAUGAUUUUAGUUUGACGGUACCAUACCAGAAAGGGACGGCUAAAUACGUGCCAG